UACGGGGGGAGCAAGCGUUGUUCGGAUUUAUUGGGCGUAAAGCGUGCGCAGGCGGUUUUGUAAGCCAGGUGUGAAAUCCCCGGGCUCAACCUGGGAAUGGCAUUUGGGACUGCAAGGCUGGAGUGCGGCAGAGGAGACUGGAAUUCCUGGUGUAGCAGUGAAAUGCGUAGAUAUCAGGAGGAAUACCGAUGGCGAAGGCAGGUCUCUGGGCUGACACUGACGCUCAUGCACGAAAGCGUGGGGAGCAAACAGG
rnacentral:rRNA from 1 species